CGUAUCACCCAAGACAACUUUACGGAGUUGACGAUUGACGGAGCGAAGCGACGUCAAAGCGUUCAUUAAAGUCGAGUUGGCUUAGGGAUACGUUCGUUGGGUAGGGGAGCGUUCUGUAAGCCUGUGAAGGUGUGUCGUGAGGCAUGCUGGAGGUAUCAGAAGUGCGAAUGCUGACAUAAGUAACGAUAAAGCGGGUGAAAAGCCCGCUCGCCGGAAGACCAAGGGUUCCUGUCCAACGUUAAUCGGGGCAGGGUGAGUCGACCCCUAAGGCGAGGCCGAAAGGCGUAGUCGAUGGGAAACGGGUUAAUAUUCCCGUACUUGGUGUUACUGCGAAGGGGGGACGGAGAAGGCUAUGUUGGCCGGGCGACGGUUGUCCCGGUUUAAGCGUGUAGGUGUGUGUUCCAGGUAAAUCCGGUUCACUUUAACACUGAGGCGUGACGACGAGGCACUACGGUGCUGAAGCAACAAAUGCCCUGCUUCCAGGAAAAGCCUCUAAGCAUCAGGUAACAUCAAAUCGUACCCCAAACCGACACAGGUGGUCAGGUAGAGAAUACCAAGGCGCUUGAGAGAACUCGGGUGAAGGAACUAGGCAAAAUGGUGCCGUAACUUCGGGAGAAGGCACGCUGACACGUAGGUGAAGUGAUUUACUCAUGGAGCUGAAGUCAGUCGAAGAUACCAGCUGGCUGCAACUGUUUAUUAAAAACACAGCACUGUGCAAACACGAAAGUGGACGUAUACGGUGUGACGCCUGCCCGGUGCCGGAAGGUUAAUUGAUGGGGUCAGCGCAAGCGAAGCUCCUGAUCGAAGCCCCGGUAAACGGCGGCCGUAACUAUAACGGUCCUAAGGUAGCGAAAUUCCUUGUCGGGUAAGUUCCGACCUGCACGAAUGGCGUAAUGAUGGCCAGGCUGUCUCCACCCGAGACUCAGUGAAAUUGAACUCGCUGUGAAGAUGCAGUGUACCCGCGGCAAGACGGAAAGACCCCGUGAACCUUUACUAUAGCUUGACACUGAACAUUGAGCCUUGAUGUGUAGGAUAGGUGGGAGGCUUUGAAGUGUGGACGCCAGUCUGCAUGGAGCCGACCUUGAAAUACCACCCUUUAAUGUUUGAUGUUCUAACGUGGACCCGUAAUCCGGGUUGCGGACAGUGUCUGGUGGGUAGUUUGACUGGGGCGGUCUCCUCCUAAAGAGUAACGGAGGAGCACGAAGGUUGGCUAAUCCUGGUCGGACAUCAGGAGGUUAGUGCAAUGGCAUAAGCCAGCUUGACUGCGAGCGUGACGGCGCGAGCAGGUGCGAAAGCAGGUCAUAGUGAUCCGGUGGUUCUGAAUGGAAGGGCCAUCGCUCAACGGAUAAAAGGUACUCCGGGGAUAACAGGCUGAUACCGCCCAAGAGUUCAUAUCGACGGCGGUGUUUGGCACCUCGAUGUCGGCUCAUCACAUCCUGGGGCUGAAGUAGGUCCCAAGGGUAUGGCUGUUCGCCAUUUAAAGUGGUACGCGAGCUGGGUUUAGAACGUCGUGAGACAGUUCGGUCCCUAUCUGCCGUGGGCGCUGGAGAACUGAGGGGGGCUGCUCCUAGUACGAGAGGACCGGAGUGGACGCAUCACUGGUGUUCGGGUUGUCAUGCCAAUGGCACUGCCCGGUAGCUAAAUGCGGAAGAGAUAAGUGCUGAAAGCAUCUAAGCACGAAACUUGCCCCGAGAUGAGUUCUCCCUGAGA
rnacentral:rRNA from 1 species